AAUCAACGCUGGCGGCGUGCCUAACACAUGCAAGUCGAACGCGAAAGGGGCUUCGGCCCUGAGUAGAGUGGCGAACGGGUGAGUAACACGUGGGUGACCUGCCUUCGAGUGGGGGAUAACGUUUCGAAAGGAACGCUAAUACCGCAUGACAUCCUGCCUUUGAAGAGGCGGUGAUUAAAGCUGGGGUCGCAAGACCUGGC
rnacentral:rRNA from 1 species